CUGAAAUGAUGACUUUAUUACCGCCCCAGUCUGAUUAUAUACUGAGUGACUGGUACCUUUCUGAUCUUCU